rnacentral:lncRNA from 1 species
AUGGAUGGAUGGACUCUGAGCUUUGUUCUGCUUCUGCCAUUAACUGUGUGUUAUGGCAGUGAAGUGACGCUUGUGAAAACUCUCGGCAGUGAACCAGAUGUGACUCCUCUCUGCACCGAUGACUCAAUGACCAUUAUCACACUUAUAAUGUGUAGGAUCAGCAGAGAGAGGAGCAGAGGAGAACAGUGUCAGCUGCUGUAUGAAUAUAAACAGGGCUUUGAACAUGGAUGUGGCUCCAGGUUCAAACUCAUAACAGAGAAUAAGACUGUGUUCCUCCACCUGAGCAGUUUAACAGCAGAGGACAGUGGGAACUACACCUGUCAGUGUUCACAUCUUGAUGGGACAUACAUUGUCCAUCUCAACAUCACAGUAGAAGAGGAGGAAAACUCCAACCAUUUGACACAACCAAUGAACCUUCAGAUCCUUCUUUAUGUUUUGCUUGGUGUAAUAUUUGUCACUAUUACAUCUGGUGUGCUCCUGAGAUUCCUUUACUACAGUAUAGUAAGACAGUGUUCAAAGUCAGCAACACCUGGAGCAUCUGCACAUGACUCUUUUAGCUGUGAGCACCAUGUUGACCCAGAAAACCUGUACACAAGCCUCCAGGAGCCGACAGCUGAUCUGUACCAGAGCGUCUCCUCUGUUAAACAACACGUCCCCUGGACGAACUCAGCUUUUAAUAAUCAGGAAGUGGACCGAGCUGAGACUGGUCCAGAUGAUGACCUCUAUGAAAACAUUGGUGAAGCUGAUUAAACUGUGUGAAACAUGGAUGGUCCUGAAUCACUGAGACAAAUGUCUUCUGGUGGGUGAUAACUGAACUCUGAGCAUCCUGUCAGAUGUUCAAUGUGAAGCCCUUCAGCUUAAUA